rnacentral:lncRNA from 1 species
UUAGUUAACCUGAAUUCAUCACUCAUCAAUGCUGACCAUUUUGAAACUAAUGCUGACGGGCGUUAAAAUUGAAAGUUGCUGCAAAGAACAUGUAAUGCAGGAUCCAAUUUAUGUUUUUAAUACAGAAGGUUGGAGUAGGAAAUGGCCAUAUAAUAAAUGUAGGUCAUUGUGUUGUGAUUUCGACUAAAAAUGUUAGUCAAAUUGGAUAUGCGUCGCUGAGUUUUUAAAUUUUCGGCCUUAAAAAAUUAUUGAAACGAACAAGUAGGAUGACACUGUCGGUUGAAACUCUAUAUCGGACCUUCCUCAUAAUCAAAUUGGGACUGCGUUACUGAUCUGUGGUCGUAAUUUUUCGACAUAUUAAAAAAAUCAUUGAAAUGGAUAAGUGGAAUGACACGGUCGGUUGAAACUCUUUAUAUUUAAUAUGAGGGUUAAAUAAUCUGUUGCACAAUUUUGCACUGAAAAGUUUAGUUAUUACUUACAAUAAGUGUAAAUCCCACAUACAAUGUUUGAAUGGAAGCAGUCCGUGUAUCUGUGAUUCAUCUCAUUGGCUUUCUUGUGUGGCCUGCAUCCCCUCGAUUAUAUAUUAUUAAGAAAUCUGCAACUAUAGGUGAAUUUUUUUUUUUCUUUUUAUGUGAGAACAAUAUUAAAUUUCUUGAGAGUACGAAUUCUCUAAUUCUAAUGGGUUGGUGGUGGCGGCCCUACAUUUCUGAGAAGCUAAUGUGGGACAGGUAGGGCUCUCCUCCCUAAAUAAAUGGUUCGAUAUUUCCUUUGAAGGCAUGAUGCCACUGCUUUGGGUUGUUCACUAGGUUAUAUAUAUAUAUAUAUCGUACACAAAUAAUCAAAAAAGAAAAUAAAGGAGCGUGUAUGUAGAAUUUUGGAGAAGAGAGACGGGCGGUGGAAUUUGAGUUGUUUGUUUCUUAGGAGAAAACUGCAAGUAAAAUAAUUGGAGGGGACCAGGCUUAGACUCAGGCAGGCUCAGGCAUGGGUCCUCCUCCUCAGCCAGUCAGCCUCAACGUGAAGUUGAUGAAACAUAAGCCUCCGUUGUGAAAUUGUGAUGCAUGCAGGCAACGCACGUUGUGCACGUACGCUGUUAAAUACGUGUGGUCCAGUUGAUUGUGAUCGUGACAUCUAUCAAUCAUCUAUUAUUGUAUAAAGAAAGAGAUUAAAGCAAAAUUCCAUGAACACGCUUAUAACUGAGCAUCCAACUCAAAACGUGCUAGCUAGGCCUAAGCCUAGGCGUAGGCGUGUUCCCUUUAAUCUCCUCUUUUUUUUUUUUCCAUUCCAGGUCUGGCGUAGGCGUGUUCCCUUUAAUCUCCUCGGCGUGUUCCCUUUAAUCUCCUCUUUUUUUUUUUUCCAUUCCAGGUCUUUGAUUCCUAUCUCAAUUUCCCAUUUUAAGAAAUCUUAAUCGUGUCAUUGUAUCUAACAAACAGAGUUUUGGCUUGCAUCAGACUUUGUAUUUUAUGCCAUUUAUCAAAAAACAAAAAAAAAAAGAAAAAAAGAAAAAAAGGACCGAUUAAAC